rnacentral:rRNA from 1 species
AUUGAACGCUGGCGGCAGGCCUAACACAUGCAAGUCGAGCGAGAGGCGGACGUGUGAGUAAUGUAUGGGCAUCUGCCCGUUAGAUGGGGAUAACUACUGGAAACGGUGGCUAAUACCGCAUUCUCUCGGAUGAACCCAUUGUGGUUUGGCUAGUAGGUGGGGUAAAGGCUCACCUAGGCCACGAACUCUAGCUGGUCUGAGAGGAUGCUCAGCCACACUGGAACUGAGACACGGCCCAGACUCCUACGGGAGGCAGCAGUGGGGAAUAUUGGACAAUGGGGGCAAGCCUGAUGCAGCCAUGCCGCGUGUGUGAAGAAGGCCUUAGGGUUGUAAAGUACUUUCAGCGGGGAGGCGUUACCCGCAGAAGAAGCACCGGCUAACUCCGUGCCAGCAGCCGCGGUAAUUC